UAAAUGUUCCUGGAACGUGUUUUUCCACA
rnacentral:piRNA from 1 species